rnacentral:rRNA from 1 species
UACGUAGGGCGCAAGCGUUGUCCGGAAUUACUGGGCGUAAAGCGUGCGCAGGCGGCGCGUUAAGACAGGUGUGAAAGCCCCGAGCUUAACUUGGGAAUUGCGCUUGUGACUGGCGUGCUGGAGUGUGGCAGAGGGAGGUGGAAUUCCACGUGUAGCAGUGAAAUGCGUAGAGAUCGGAAGGAACACCAGUGGCGAAGGCGGCUACCUGGACAGAUACUGACGCUGAGGCGCGAGAGCGUGGGGAGCAAACAGG